AUUGAACGCUGGCGGCAUGCUUUACACAUGCAAGUCGAACGGUAACAGGCCUUCGGGUGCUGACGAGUGGCGAACGGGUGAGUAAUGCAUCGGAACGUACCCAGAGGUGGGGGAUAACGCAGCGAAAGCUGUGCUAAUACCGCAUGUGAUCUGAGGAUGACAGCGGGGGACCGAGCAGCAAUGUUUGGCCUCGCGCCUUUGGAGCGGCCGAUGUCGGAUUAGCUAGUUGGUGGGGUAAAGGCCUACCAAGGCGACGAUCCGUAGCUGGUCUGAGAGGACGACCAGCCACACUGGGACUGAGACACGGCCCAGACUCCUACGGGAGGCAGCAAUGGGGAAUUUUGGACAAUGGGCGCAAGCCUGAUCCAGCAAUGCCGCGUGCGGGAAGAAGGCCUUCGGGUUGUAAACCGCUUUUGGCAGGAACGAAACGGUGUCCGCUAAUACCGGGCGCUAAUGACGGUACCUGCAGAAUAAGCACCGGCUAACUACGUG
rnacentral:rRNA from 1 species